rnacentral:rRNA from 1 species
AUCCGGAUUUACUGGGUGUAAAGGGAGCGUAGACGGCAAGGCAAGUCUGAAGUGAAAGCCCGGUGCUUAACGCCGGGACUGCUUUGGAAACUGUUUGGCUGGAGUGCCGGAGAGGUAAGCGGAAUUCCUAGUGUAGCGGUGAAAUGCGUAGAUAUUAGGAAGAACACCAGUGGCGAAGGCGGCUUACUGGACGGUAACUGACGUUGAGGCUCGAAAGCGUGGGGAGCAAACAGGAUUAGAUACCCUGGUAGUCCACGCCGUAAACGAUGAUUGCUAGGUGUAGGUGGGUAUGGACCCAUCGGUGCCGCAGCUACCGCAAUCACGCAAUCCACCUGGGGAGUACGU